AAGGACCGUGGGGCAAAAUUUUAGAAUUUUUAGAGCUUGUUUGAGUGGAUUUUUGAAAAAUGUCAAUUAUAGGGACUAAAACGUAAUUUUUAAGAUUUUGAGUAUUGUCUGAUUUGGAGGGCUCAGGAGGGGCCAUGUGAUAUUGAUGAGAUGUGAUUGUGAAAAUUGAGAAUUUAGAAGUGUUAUUUGAGUCUUUUUGCAGGUUGGGUAGGUCCCAGGUAUAGGGGAAACUCUGCCGGAUUUCCGGCAUGAAUUAGGCUGUCUAUUGUCUCUUUAGAGUUUUAUCUUAACUUAAUACUAAUAAAUUUAUAAUUUAAUUAUUAGGUGAUCGAGGUCAGCUAUUUUCUGCAUCCAGCAGCCACAAUAGUCAUCGGUGUACUGCCACAGGAGGAGUUAUUUUACAGAGCAACCUGUUUUCUUCCUCGCAGGUUUAACGUCAAUUAUUUAAUUGUUUUACUUUCUUUUCUAAAUUUAAAAUCUAGAACUCCGCAUGUGUUAGAAAUAGUGUGGACCUUGGUAGAGGUUGAGUUAAUUUAAAUUUUUAAGAUUAAUAAAUGAAGAUUUGUAUGGUA